CAUUUUAUUAAAAAUAGACGUGAAAAUCAAUAGGUGUUUUCAGAUAAGCAGAGAGAGAACUCUGCAGAGCUCUGCUGGUGGCUGUGGCACCCUUUGGAAAUCACGUUUGGGCUUCAGGCUCUGAGGGGGAGCAGCUGCUCCCAAAAAUUCCCAAUUCCAGAGGAGCAGCUCCUCCUGCUGCCCCCAAAAAUUCCCAAUUCCAGAGGAGCAGCUGCCCCCAAAAAUUCCCAAUUCCAGAGGAGCAGCUCCUCCAGCUGCCAGGAAUUCAGGGAGUUCCCAAUGCCCUGGGUGUUUUCAAUUUGAAAAAAAAAAAAACCCACAAAAACCCCACUUUUAUGAACAGAAA